rnacentral:rRNA from 1 species
UUAGAGUUUGAUCAUGGCUCAGAUUGAACGCUGGCGGCAGGCUUAACACAUGCAAGUCGAGCGGGGUGAUGGUGCUUGCACUAUCACUUAGCGGCGGACGGGUGAGUAAUGCUUAGGAAUCUGCCUAUUAGUGGGGGACAACAUUUCGAAAGGAAUGCUAAUACCGCAUACGCCCUACGGGGGAAAGCAGGGGACCUUCGGGCCUUGCGCGAUUGGAUGAACCCAGGUGGGAUUAGCUAGUUGGUGAGGUAAUGGCUCACCAAGGCGACGAUCUCUAACUGGUUUGAGAGAAUGACCAGUCACACUGGAACUGAGACACGGUCCAGACUCCUACGGGAGGCAGCAGUGGGGAAUAUUGCACAAUGGGCGCAAGCCUGAUGCAGCCAUGCCGCGUGUGUGAAGAAGGCCUUCGGGUUGUAAAGCACUUUCAGCGGGGAGGAAGGGCCACUAGUUAAUACCUAGUGGCAUUGACGUUACUCGCAGAAGAAGCACCGGCUAACUCCGUGCCAGCAGCCGCGGUAAUACGGAGGGUGCAAGCGUUAAUCGGAAUUACUGGGCGUAAAGCGCGCGUAGGCGGCUAAUUAAGUCAAAUGUGAAAUCCCCGAGCUUAACUUGGGAAUUGCAUUCGAUACUGGUUAGCUAGAGUGUGGGAGAGGAUGGUAGAAUUCCAGGUGUAGCGGUGAAAUGCGUAGAGAUCUGGAGGAAUACCGAUGGCGAAGGCAGCCAUCUGGCCUAACACUGACGCUGAGGUGCGAAAGCAUGGGGAGCAAACAGGAUUAGAUACCCUGGUAGUCCAUGCCGUAAACGAUGUCUACUAGCCGUUGGGGCCUUUGAGGCUUUAGUGGCGCAGCUAACGCGAUAAGUAGACCGCCUGGGGAGUACGGUCGCAAGACUAAAACUCAAAUGAAUUGACGGGGGCCCGCACAAGCGGUGGAGCAUGUGGUUUAAUUCGAUGCAACGCGAAGAACCUUACCUGGCCUUGACAUACUAGAAACUUUCCAGAGAUGGAUUGGUGCCUUCGGGAAUCUAGAUACAGGUGCUGCAUGGCUGUCGUCAGCUCGUGUCGUGAGAUGUUGGGUUAAGUCCCGCAACGAGCGCAACCCUUUUCCUUACUUGCCAGCAUUUCGGAUGGGAACUUUAAGGAUACUGCCAGUGACAAACUGGAGGAAGGCGGGGACGACGUCAAGUCAUCAUGGCCCUUACGGCCAGGGCUACACACGUGCUACAAUGGUCGGUACAAAGGGUUGCUACACAGCGAUGUGAUGCUAAUCUCAAAAAGCCGAUCGUAGUCCGGAUUGGAGUCUGCAACUCGACUCCAUGAAGUCGGAAUCGCUAGUAAUCGCGGAUCAGAAUGCCGCGGUGAAUACGUUCCCGGGCCUUGUACACACCGCCCGUCACACCAUGGGAGUGGGUUGCAAAAGAAGUAGGUAGCUUAACCUUCGGGAGGGCGCUUACCACUUUGUGAUUCAUGACUGGGGUGAAGUCGUAACAAGGUAACCGUAG